rnacentral:SRP_RNA from 1 species
GCCGGAAUUAACUGUUUUAACCAUGGGAACGGGUCAGGUCUGGAAAGAAGCAGCUCUACUGUGGACAGCUGAUGCUUGCGGAGCAACGGGGUGGAGUCGAGUUUCU